AUUGAACGCUGGCGGCAUGCUUUCCACAUGCAAGUCGGACGAGUGGCGAACGGGUGCGUAAUAUAUCGGAACGUACCGAGUAAUGGGGGAUAACUAAUCGAAAGAUUAGCUAAUACCGCAUAUUAUUCGAGCGGCCGAUAUCUGAUUAGCUAGUUGGUGGGGUAACAGCCUACCAAGGCGACGCUCAGUAGCGGGUCUUAGAGGAUGAUCCGCCACACUGGGUCUGAGACACGGCCCAGACUACGACGGGAGGCAGCAGUGGGGAAUUUUGGACGAUGGGCGCAAGCCUGAUCCAGCCAUGCCGCGUGUCUGAAGAAGGCCUUCGGGUUGUAAAGGACUUUUGUCAGGGAAGCGGUACCUGAAGAAUAAGCACCGGCUAACUACGUGCCAGCAGCCGCGGUAAUA
rnacentral:rRNA from 1 species